GCACCGGUAGCUCAGCCUGGUAGAGCAAGGGCCUUUUAAGCCCGGGGUCGUGGGUUCGAAUCCCACCCGGUGUACCA
rnacentral:tRNA from 1 species